GCCUGGCUGGCUUAUUUGGUAAAGCAUAUGACUCUUGCUCUCAGGGUCAUGAGUUCAAACCCCAUGUUGGGCA
rfam:Canis lupus familiaris chromosome 5, whole genome shotgun sequence.